UACGGGGGGAGCAAGCGUUGUUCGGAUUUACUGGGCGUAAAGGGCGCGUAGGCGGCCACCGCAAGUCGACUGUGAAAUCUCCGGGCUUAACCCGGAAAGGUCAGCCGAUACUGCGGGCUAGAGUGCAGAAGGGGCAACUGGAAUUCUCGGUGUAGCGGUGAAAUGCGUAGAUAUCGGGAGGAACACCAGUAGCGAAGGCGGCACUCUGGGCCGGUACUGACGCUGAGGAGCGAAAGCGUGGGGAGCAAACAGG
rnacentral:rRNA from 1 species